GACGAACGCUGGCGGCGUGCCUAAUACAUGCAAGUCGAACGCAGUGGGGACGGGUGAGUAACACGUGGGUAACCUCCCAUCAGAGGGGAUAACACUUGGAAACAGGUGCUAAACCGAUACUGAUGGAUGGACCCGCGGUGCAUGAGCUAGUUGGUGAGGUAACGGCGCACCAAGGGCACGAUGCAUAGCCGACCUGAGAGGGGUGUCGGCCACUCUGGGACUGAGCCACGGCACAGCCUCCUACGGGAGGCAGCAGUAGGGAAUCUGCGGCAAUGGACGAAAGUCUGAACGAGCAACGGCGCGUGAGAGAAGAUGGUUUUCGGAUCGUAAAACUCUGUUAGUAGGUAAGCGGUACCUAAUCAGAAAGCCACGGCUAACUACGUGCCAGCAGCCGCGGUAAUAC
rnacentral:rRNA from 1 species